rnacentral:rRNA from 1 species
UACGAAGGGGGCUAGCGUUGCUCGGAAUCACUGGGCGUAAAGGGUGCGUAGGCGGGUCUUUAAGUCAGGGGUGAAAUCCUGGAGCUCAACUCCAGAACUGCCUUUGAUACUGAAGAUCUUGAGUUCGGGAGAGGUGAGUGGAACUGCGAGUGUAGAGGUGAAAUUCGUAGAUAUUCGCAAGAACACCAGUGGCGAAGGCGGCUCACUGGCCCGAUACUGACGCUGAUGCACGAAAGCGUGGGGAUCAAACAGG